UUGAGCAUUUCUUAAAAUCAGUAAAGAUAAAGGUGAUGAUUUGUCCAAAAUUAAAGGCACUAAUGCUGAUGGAAGAACGAAGAUAUUGGGGGAAAAAAAUCUAUCAUGGCCGGACUUCUUUGAGCAAGAAUUUCAUUCAAUGAUGCAAAAAUGCAUUUCCUCUUUCACUGUUGCAAUUAGUUGGUGAGGAGUGCCAUCUAGUGCUCAAUUUUCAGGCUGCAUGUCAGUAUCCAUGGCAGCACAAUGAGAGAGCCUGGAGGUGGUAGCAUCAGCAUGAGGAGACUAUAUGGCAGCACAAUAACAGAGCCUGGAGGUGGCAGCAUCAGCAUGAGGAGACCAUAUAGCAGCACAAUGAGAGAGUGUGGAGGUGGCAGAAUCAGCAUGAGGCGACCAUAUGGCGGCACAAUAACAGAGCCUGGAGGUGGCAGCAUCAGCAUGAGGAGACCAUAUAGCAGCACAAUGAGAGAGCCUGGAGGUGGCAGAAUCAGCAUCAGGAGACCAUAAAGCAUCAUAAUGAGAGAGCCUGGAGGUGGCAGAAUCAGCAUCAGGAGACCAUAUAGCAUCACAAUGAGAGAGCCUGGAGGUGGCAGCAUCAGCAUGAGGAGACCAUAUGGCGGCACAAUGACAGAGCCUGGAGGUGGCAGCAGCAGCAUGAGGGCAAUGCCAACUGAGGGUUGAGUCUGAGGAACCCACCGACUGUUUACUGGGGGUGUCAGAUGUCACAUGGGAUUAAGUGGAUGACCGAGUGAACCAAUCAAUCACGGCUGCUGGGUUGCUGGUUGAGACACGACUGCUAGCUGACAAUGGAAGCUCAGACCUCUCACUGCGACUCCUGCUGCCACACGCCCCUACUCUGCUGUGACCUGUGCCUGAUGAAUUUAGGCCUCUGCCACUCUUCUGUGCACAUCGUGGCACUUUUCUGACUUACAUUCUUAGUGCGUAUAUGGGGGGAGUACAAUACGCUUCACUAUGCUUAAAACAGUAUAGAACAGCAGCAGGUGUAUACUUUUGGCUGGCCUUUUACAGUAAAAAGGCCCUUAAGACUUUAUCAGGAACAAAAUGGUACAACACUUAGAUGUACGUAUGUGGUAUGCACUUAUGAUUAGAAUGUGCUCCAUUACGCUUAACAGUAUUUUUCUAGAACAGCAGCCGGUGAGUACUUUUGCCUGGACUUUCACAGUAUCUAGGCCCUUGAGAGUUUAACAGGUACAAAAUAGUACACUACUUAGAUGUAGUUAUGUGGUAUGCACCUAUGAGGGCAGAAAAAUUAUCUACAGUACGCUUAAAAAAUAUAUUUGAGUACAACACCAUCCGGUGAGUACUUUUGCCUGGACUUUCACAGUAUCUAGGCCCUUGACAGAUUAACAGGUACAAAAUAGUACACCACUUAGAUAUAGGUAUGUGGUGUGCACUUAUGAGGGCCGAAAAUGCGCUACAGUAUGCUUAAAAAAGUAUUUGAGUUAAACACCAGCUGGUGAUUACUUUUGCCUGGACUUUCACAGUAUCUAUGCCCUUGAGAGUUUAACAGGUACAAAAUAGUACACUACUUAGAUGUAGGCAUGUGGUAUGCACUUAUGAGGGCAGAAAGAUGUACUACAUUAUGCUUAAAAAGUAUAUGUGCUCAACACCAGCAGUACACAACAGUGCUGCAACACACAGGCACUGUAUACUAAACCCAAAAUUGCACUUUCUCUCAAAGACUAUUAGGAAUGGACUGGGUAUGUAUUAUACUGUCUACAGGCUAGUAUAACCAGCAGACCAUUUGUUGUGGGAAAAAAGACACAGAGUUGCGCUAAAAACUUAUUCCUCCCUCCUCUGCUAACGUUUCUCCAGCUGAGCCAGCUUGUUCAAAUGUAUGAGGCAACACACAGCUCUCUGCCCCUCUCUGUAAUGCAAUGCUGUAAACAGUGACGGGGAGGUUAAUCGCUGCUGUAAAAAUUAUUUUCUGUGAAAAACACACUGCUCUCUGUCCAACAGAAUACUGACGUGACUAGGAGAUGAAACGCUGCUGGAAAAAGCUUUUCCGUGUAACAUACAGCCCUGUCUAUCCUAUCUCUCUGCAGUGAAAGGAGGAAGUAACUAGCCGGAAUAUGGCUGUCGAUUAUAUAGGGCUGUGACAUCACAGGGGUGACUGGCUGCUGAUAGGCUGCUUCCUGCAUGUGAUUAAGGGUCAUCCCACCUACCCUUGUUCCCUCCUUUCCAGGAUUUCUUGCCCCAUGUCCUUACAUGUGGAUCUGCCAUUUUUGAUGCCUUGGAGCCUGGACCCCACUAAAUGGAGUUUAAUGAAGUGAUUCGCACAUUCGUUGCAAAUCGAAUUUCUCCUGAAAUUCGUAACAAAUUUGGAUUUGUCAGAUUGGAUUUGCUCAUCUCUAAAUUAAAGAAUCAGGAGAACAUAUGGUGGCUGAAAGAGACAUCCUGGAGCUGGCAUCAGCAUGAGGAGAACAUACGGUAGCAGAAUGAGACUGCCUGGAGGUGGCAUCAGCAUGAGGAGAACAUAUGGAGGCAGAAUGAGACAGCCUGGAGCUGGCAUCAGCAUAAGGAGAACAUAUGGUGGCAGAAUGAGACAGCCGGGAGCUGGCAUCAGCAUGAGGAGAACAUAUGGUGGCAGAAUGAGACAUCCUGGAGCUGGCAUCAACAUGAGGAAAACAUAUGGUGGCAGAAGGAGGCAUCAGCAGCAUCAGGAGUCCUGAAAUUUACCCGGUGACAGAGUAGGGCGGUGCGUCUUAUGGUCAGGUGCGUCUUAUGGAGCGAAAAAUACGCUCUUCAUUCGAAGUCAAAAGAAGAUUGCACAUUGUGGUUGCUCUUUACCAAGAUUUCUUUGAAAUCAUGUCCAUUCACAGUCAAAGAGAAAUCACUCAUAAAGGCUGGAUUUACUUUAAAAGGUGAAGGCUCAGAAAUUAGGCAGUGGACUUUUCCAUUUGAUCCAGAAUCUUUAUCAUGGAUGCUGAUGAUGGCAACUGUUGUC